rnacentral:rRNA from 1 species
UUCCGGUUGAUCCUGCCGGAGGUCACUGCUAUUGGGGUCCGACUAAGCCAUGCGAGUCAUAGUUCUUCGUAAACUAGGCGGACGGCUCAGUAGCACGUGGGUAAUCUACCCUCAGGACAGGGAUAACCCCGGGAAACUGGGGAUAAUACCUGAUAGGUGGAGAGGUCUGGAAUGAUCCUCCGCCCAAAGCUCCGGCGCCUGAGGAUGAGCCUGCGGCCGAUUAGGUUAGUUGGCGGUGUAACGGACCACCAAGCCUGAGAUCGGUACGGGCACUGAGAGGUGGAGCCCGGAGAUGGGGGCUGAGAAACGGCCCCAGGCCCUACGGGGCGCAGCAGGCGCGAAAACUCCGCAAUACGCGAAAGCGUGACGGGGGGACCCCAAGUGUCAUGCCUUCGGGUAUGACUUUUGCAGAGUGUAAACAGCUCUGCGAAUAAGAGCUGGGUAAGACCGGUGCCAGCCGCCGCGGUAACACCGGCAGCUCGAGUGGUGGCCACUAUUAUUGGGCCUAAAGCGUCCGUAGCCGGCUCGGUAAGUCCUUGGGAAAAUCCGCUCGUUCCACGAACGGGACCCUGAGGAUACUGCCGAACUUGGGAACGAGAGAAGUCGGAAGUACUCCUGGGGUAGCGGUGAAAUGCUGUAAUCCUGGGGGGACUACCAGUGGCGAAGGCGUUCGACUAGAGCGGGUUCGACGGUGAGGGACGAAAGCCAGGGGAGCGAACGGGAUUAGAUACCCCGGUAGUCCUGGCCGUAAACGCUGUGGGCUAAGUGUUGCAC